GAUGAAGAACGUAGCGAAAUGCGAUAAGUAAUGUGAAUUGCAGAAUUCAGUGAAUCAUCGAAUCUUUGAACGCACCUUGCGCUCCUUGGUAUUCCGAGGAGCAUGCCUGUUUGAGUGUCAUUAAUAUUAUCAACCUUUUGGGUUGGAUUUGGGUUUGCUGGCCUCUAUCAGGUCAGCUCCCCUUAAAUGCAUUAGCAGACAACAUUUUGCCAAAUGUUCAUUGGUGUGAUAAUUAUCUACGCUAUUGACAUGAAGCAAAGGUUCAGCUUCUAACUGUCCAUUGACUUGGACAACUUUAUUAAUGUGACCUCAAAUCAGGUAGGACUACCCGCUGAACUUAAGCAUAUCAAUAAGCGGAGGA
rnacentral:misc_RNA from 1 species